rnacentral:lncRNA from 1 species
UUAAUGUCAUUAUUGAUACUUUUGUCGUAAAUAAAUUUGUUUCCAACCAGCUUUAUUGUCCUUCAUUUUCUACCUUAUAGAUGUUUGAACAAUGUUUUCAAUUCUUUAUUUAGCACUUUGGAGAUUUGACGUUUACCGAUCUUGUUUUUAUUUCUGAAACUGAUUCACUUUAUUGCCAAAUGCAUUAUAUUUAUCAACCUCAAGAAGUAAAUGAUUGCUGAUUAUUCCGAUGGAGAAUUUAGCAGUCAAAGAAUAUUCCUCUGAUAAUCAUUUCUGACUUUCCUCCCUUUUCAAAUUGAAAUUAUCUUGGAUUGUUUCUUCAUCUGUGAAAUGAGAAAAAUAUCAAUACCUGUCUCAUGGGGUUACCCUGAGUAGAUUAAUAUCUAGUCUGAGAAUAUUGUCUAAAAUAUUGAUAUUCCCCUAUCAGUUAACAAUUAUUGUCAAGUUUGUAAUAUUUUAUUGACUUUGAUAUGAUUUCCAUCAGUCAUUUUUUUAUAAUGAAGCAUCCUAAUUUUUUAAAGUUUUAUUUAAAAUAUUCAAAUAUUCUAGAUAUUACCACAGAUAAUUUAAAACAUAGUAACCCAGGAUAAUUGUGUGUGUGUGUGUGUGUUUGAUGUGUUCUAUACCAUUCAUCAACAAUAAAACAAAGGACUAUCCUAAUAGAUGCCAUAAGAAAAAAAAAAAAAGCAUGUGAGGGAGAAGUACAGGUGGGAAACUGAGUUUUUUUCCCUGAACAUAUUUAUACUUUCAAAUAUCCAAAAUCUU